CUUAAUAACACUAACAUCUGCUAU
rnacentral:siRNA from 1 species